GACGAACGCUGGCGGCGUGCUUAACACAUGCAAGUCGAAAGAAGUGGCGAACGGGUGAGUAACGCGUAAUCAAACUGCCCUUCAGAGGGGGACAACAGUUGGAAACGACUGCUAAUACCGCAUACUGAAGGAGGGGAUUGAGUCGGAUUAGGUCGUUGGAGGGGUAACGGCCCACAAAGGCGAGGAUCAGUAGCCGGUCUGAUAGGUUGAACGGCCACAUUUGGACUGAGAAACGGCCCAGACUCCUAGGGGAGGCAGCAGUGGGGAAUCUGCCGCAAUGGACGAAAGUCUGACGGAGCAACGCCGCGUGAGUGAUGACGGCCUUCGGGUUGUAAAGCUCUGUUAAUCGGGACGCGGUACCGGAAUAGAAAGCCACGGCUAACUACGUGCCAGCAGCCGCGGUAAUUC
rnacentral:rRNA from 1 species